AUCUUUGCGCUUGGGGCAAUGACGCAACUAAUGAGGUACUAACCGAAUGCGCGUCUAUUGCUGGUUGAAAACUAUUUCCAAACCCCCUCAUUGAUCCUUAGGACUCUUGAGAAUUUCUGGAAGGGCUCCCUUCCGGGUAAAGCC
rfam:Brassica napus, WGS project CCCW01000000 data, contig: 12731